rnacentral:lncRNA from 1 species
UUAGGAUAAAAUGUAAUGAAAUGUAAUUUUUGCUAAGCAGCUGAGCCAGGAGGGUAGCACAAAACCCUGCAAUUAGCCCUGAUUGGUACCGAGCUUUCUGUGUGCCAGAGAUCUGAGUGCAUGCUGCUGGUUAACAAGGUGACUCUGCUAAGACUGGCCAGCCUGGCCUCUGGCGAGUGGACUGACACAAGCUGGUCUAUGUUUGUGGUUGCCUCUUGGGGGCCGUGGAGACGCAGCCAUUAUAUCUGAGCUCCCUGGGACAGGGAGAGGGCCACGGGAAGUCUUGCGGGCGUCCUGGUGUAUGUCUGAGUCGGUGGGCUUGCGUCUGGUCCCCUGGGAGGGGUCCAGGUCUAGCGUAUUGCUCAGCUGCUGCCCGGCCCCCUCCUUCUCGGGCUGUCGGUGGGGUAGUCACAGCGACUCACAGGGAUGCGCUCCGGUGGGCAAUCUCGCCGUUGGGCACCCGGAAGCGAUCCCUUCUCGAGGUCUUGGCAGAGAGCUCCGCCCGCGUGUCCAGAGGCCGUGUGUGUGGCUGAUGAGGGCGCUUCUGGCCCAGCAGCCCAGCCCUGUAGAUUGUCACUGGAGAACGGCAUCAGUGUCUGUACAUCAAUUAAGGGAACCGGCCCUGAUGGACCGUGAGCUGGACCUGAGGCUAAUGUGACAGAAGUGAUAAGAGCUGAGCCCAGCCCUGGGCGGAGCGUCCUGCUCCUGACCCAGAGACACUGAUGCCGGAGCCGCGGGAGACCUGGCUCGUGGAUACCAUGCUGGGCAGACGGGUGCCGAGGCCUGGGGCGUGGCGACAUCGUGCAGCUGCAUCAGCAACUGAGCUCCCUGCGGGGCUUCUCACCUGUGGGGUGACUGGGAUUUGGUGAAAGAGGGUCCCUAGCUGAAGGGAGGAGAACAUUGUCACCGAACAGCUUGGACAGCCAGGGCUGUCCAUCUGACUGUUAAAAAGUGCGUGAGCUCGUCAUGUAGUCUGAGCUGGUAGAGGGGCCCAGAUCAGCUACAUAACCGUGAAAUUAAGUUUGGGGUGGACGCCGGUGUCCUUGAAGACACCAAAGCAUGAAGAGAAAUUCAGCCUGCCCUGCACUCUCACUUUUUCUCUCCUGACUUUCACAGGUGUCCAUGUUGGAUGGAAUGUCUUCUGGCUUUUUUUAAAAAGUAUUGAAGUAGAGUUGAUUUAUGAUGUUGUAUUAUAUCUGCUCUACAGCAAAGUGAUGCAAUUAUACAUGUUCUUUUUCCUCACUCUUUCCCAUGCUGGUUUAUCACAGGAUGUUGACUACAGGUCCCUGUGCUGUACAGCAGGACCUCGUCGUGUAUCCCUCUUAUAGAUACUAGUUCAUAUCUGUAGAAUGACUUCUUAUGUGCUGCUAAAUCUGAAAUGGGAGACAGUAGAAAAUCAGGUUAUUUGCCUAUAAGGAGUGACCGUCCUAGCUGGUGGGGAGCAAACAUAAAAAGGUGUUCCCACUUUUUCCUAAAGUUGAGCAGAGAGACUUGAGCCACAUCCAUGGUCAGCAGGCACCAUAUUCUUUGUGCUCCUUCUGGCGAUAGGUCUUAUUUCCCCAGCUUUCCCUCCCUCUGGGGUGGAGGGGGAGGUCCACUGGCUAGAGAACUUCCACCCAUGCCCCUGAGAGACCCCCUGCUCUGUGCCCAGGAGCUGGAAGAGUGACACCCACGUGGCUUCCUUAUCUGAAAGGGAAAUAAGACAAAAUGCGGUGGUCCCGCAUUUCUGUGUGGUGCAGAGUGAAAGCUCCAUUCCUUUACCUUUGAGGUCAGCUCCACUAAGCCUCCAAAGCUACUCUCACUUCUUAGCCCAGAGCGAAGCAUCUCCAGGCACCUGGCACCCAGGUGAGGCUCUUCCGGUGCAGGUAAGAGACGCCUCUUUGUCGGCGGCAAACAGAAAACUCAUUGGCAUGUAGAAUUCAAAAGAGCUCGAGUCAGGGCCCCUGCUGAGCCCAUCCAAGUGUGGCCUUGGAUCCCAUCCGUGUUGUCUUAACUCUCAGGGCAAGGGCGGGGGUGGGGGCUCCCCACGAGCCAGCCUGUCCCCCCAGCAGCUCCCGCAUCAGCCAUGUUGUCACCUGAAAUUUUAGCCCAGAGAGGGUGUUUCCUCUUGGGGGUUCCAAAGUUGGGGCUUGUCUGCCGGGGAUUGUCUCCCUGGGGGUUCUCGGGUCAUGUGCCCAGCCCUCCACCUGUCAGCACGGCCACAGGAUGGGGUGUGUGAAAUGCCAGUUCUGGAUCACAUGCUUACCUCGAGUUGUGGAGCAAGGGAGGUGGGCCCGUCCCAGCUGAGCCACACAGACGGAGAGUGGCGGAGGAGUUGACCUCCAGAGGAAAUCAGAAGAAUGUAUAAUCAAGGCUGAGUGUAAAAAUAGCAGCUUACCCGACAAAUAUUUGUUAAGUCACGGGAUGAGUGAUGGCGCAGAUGCAGUGUAUCCGUCAGAGUUCUCCAGAGGAACAGAGCCAUGUGUGUGUAUAUAUGUGCACACACACACAUACAUGUGUGUUUAUAUGUACCUAUAUGUUUAAAUGUGGAGUUGUAAGGAAUUGGCUCCCAUGAUGUGGAGCCCGAUGCUCCCAAGAUCUGUGGACUGCCGUCUGGAGACCCAGAACUGCUGUUGAUGCAAAUUCCAGUCCAAAGCUGGAAGGCGUAAGACCCAGGAAGGGCCAGUGUUUCAGCUUGAGUCCCAAGACAGGGAAAAAAGCCCUACAGCAAUGUGCUGGCUGAAGGCAGUUAGUCAGGAGGAAACUCCCUCUCACUUGGAGCGAGGUCAGCCCUUUUCUUGUUUUCAGGGUGAGGCCCAGCGUCCUGGACAGAGUCUGCUUUUCUUUGUCUCCUGAUCCAAAUGUUAGUCUCAUCCAGAAACACCCACACAGACACAUUCAGAAUAAUGUGUGACACGAUGUCAGGGUGCCCCGUGGCCCAGUCCAGUUGACACAUAAAAUUAACAUCAGAGAGGAGUUCCCGUUGUGACUCAGCAGUUAACGAAUCCAACUAGGAACCAUGAGGUUGCGGGUUCGAUCCCUGGCCUUGCUCACUGGGUUAAGGAUCCAGCACUAAGGAUCCUAUGGUGUAGGUCACAGACACUGCUCAGAUCUGGCAGCUGUAGCCGCCGGCCUACGCCAGAGCCACAGCAACACGGGAUCCGAGCCGUGCCUGCAACCUAAACCAUAGCUCACGGCAACGCCGGAUCGUUAACCCACUGAGCAAGGGCAGGGACCGAACCCGCAACCUCAUGGUUCCCAGUUGGAUUCGUCAACCACUGCGCCACGACGGGAACUCCUCAACAUCUUUUUUCUGCCUUCAUCCCCUAAAAUGGAUCGAAUUGGGUCACCCUCACCUCCAAAUUUAUAUGUUAACAUAGCCCUCGCUACUUCAGAAUGGGACUUUAUUUGGAGCCUGCGUCUUUACCGGGGUAAGCACGUUAAAAUGGGGUCUUUAGGGUGGACCCUUAUCCAGUAUGACUGCUGAUCUGAAAAGAUGGGGGGAUUUAGACACAGAGACAGAUGCAUUAGAGGGGAGGUGAUGUGAAAAUACAAGGAGAAGGCCGCACAAAGGCAGAGGACUGCAGUGCUGCAACUACAAGUCCAGGAACACCAAGGACUGCUGGCACCCACCCGGGGAUGGAAAGGGGCCUGGAACAGAUUGUCCUGUCAUUUCCCCCACAGGGUUCAGUGGGAGUCGGAGUGUGAGUCAGUGUCUGGCUUCUGCAGCUGUGUGGGGCAUCAUCCAAGAGGCACACCUGUUUCCCACCCUCCCAGGAUGCUUAGGUGAUUGGCAUGGCUGAGUGUUGGGGGAAGCGGGGAGCACAGCAGCUGGGGUUCAAAGCUCAUCAAAGGGACACUCCUGGCCACUUUUUAGUUCAUCCUCCUAAUCCUCCAUGGGCUCCAUCAGGAAGCCACCACGAGCCACUGGGGAUACCUCAUCUGUAAACCCCCACUGGCCCCAGGACAAUGGCAGUAAAUAGCACGGCUGGUCCAGUGCUCCAUGUGUCUCACCCAUACCCUCCUAUCUCGUGGCAGGCCCCCUGAGUGACCUCUGAAGGAAGCAAGGUUGAGCAUUUGCAGACCACUCGUUAGCACCUGCAGAAAGCCAGCCUGGCUCUGGAGGGUUGGGAGGAGGCUCACAAAUUCGAGCAUUUCACAGUGUCGUGCAAGGGAAAACAAGCAGGAGGCUCUCAGCGCUAGGCCUGACUUUGCAGUAGAGAAGGCGAACAAUCUUAAUUCCUCCUCAAGGAGGAAUAAGAAGUGUGAAGUGGGCAUAUCUGAAAGUCCGAGAAAACCUUAGAAUCCAUAGCUGGACUGACUGGUAAAGGCAUUUCUCAAAGUCAGUCAGUAAAGACUGCAGGAUGUGACUGCUUUUUCAAAUGUGAAGAUAGCAACACAAGACUUCAAAAAACAUGAAAAGUCAAGGAAACAUAACACUACCAAAGGAACACUAUGAUUUUCCACUAACUGAUCCAAAGAUAGAGAUCUAUGAAAUGCCUGACAAAGAAUUCAAAAUAAUUUAAGGAAACCCAGUGAGCUGGAAGAGAAACAGACAGAUAACUCAAUGAAAUCAUGCAAAUAAUACACGAACACAAUGGGAGGUUCAACAGAGAGAUAGACAUCAUAAAAAAGAACCAAACAUAUUCUGGAGCUGAAAAAUAUAAUGAAUAAAUCCAUGAUACAGAGAGCAUCAAUAGCAGACUUGGUCAGUCUGAUGAGAGAAUCUGGAAACUACAAGGAAGAUCAUUUGAAUUUAUCCAGUCAGAG